rnacentral:rRNA from 1 species
AUGGCCUCACUUACCAUGCUUGUAUGUUGGGUCAUCUGGAAUGAUAGAAACAUUAGAGUCUUCCGAAAGAAAUCGACGCCGACAUACUACAUUCUAAAAAUCAUCCAAGAGGAGGCCAGGGCGUGGGUCACCGCGGGGGCUAGACAUCUGAGCAUCAUCAUGCCGUGAGAGUAA